rnacentral:rRNA from 1 species
GUGUCAGCCGCCGCGGUAAGACGUAGGGGGCGAGCGUUGCUCGGAAUCACUGGGCUUAAAGGGCGCGUAGGCGGCAGGGCAAGUCUGGGGUAGAAGGCGGAGGCUCAACCUCUGUAAUGCCCUGGAAACUGCUUUGCUUGAGCGAGCGAGGGGAGGGCGGAAUUCCCGGUGUAGCGGUGAAAUGCGUAGAUAUCGGGAGGAAGGCCUGUGGCGAAGGCGGCCCUCUGGCGCUCAACUGACGCUGAGGCGCGAAAGCGUGGGUAGCAAACAGGAUUAGAUACCCUGGUAGUCCACGCCCUAAACGGUGGGCACUAGGUGUGGGGCUCGAGAGGGUUCCGUGCCGAAGGGAAACCAAUAAGUGCCCCGCCUGGGGAGUACGGCCGCAAGGUUGAAACUUAAAUGAAUUGGCGGGG